rnacentral:rRNA from 1 species
GCUUAGCCCUAAACCUAAAUAAUUAAAUAACAAAAUUAUUUGCCAGAGAACUACUAGCAACAGCUUAAAACUCAAAGGACUUGGCGGUACUUUAUAUCCAUCUAGAGGAGCCUGUUCUAUAAUCGAUAAACCCCGUUAUACCUCACCAUCUCUUGCUAAUUCAGCCUAUAUACCGCCAUCUUCAGCAAACCCUAAAAAGGCAUUUAAGUAAGCACAAGAAUAGACAUAAAAACGUUAGGUCAAGGUGUAGCCAAUGAGAUGGGAAGAAAUGGGCUACAUUUUCUUUCACAAGAACAAACGAAACCCUUUAUGAAACUAAAGGACAAAGGAGGAUUUAGUAGUAAAUUAAGAAUAGAGAGCUUAAUUG